UGGGGAAUUUUGGACAAUGGGCGCAAGCCUGAUCCAGCCAUGCCGCGUGCGGGAAGAAGGCCUUCGGGCUGUAAACCGCUUUUGUCAGGGAAGAAAUCUUCUGAGUUAAUACCUCGGGAGGAUGACGGUACCUGAAGAAUAAGCACCGGCUAACUACGUGCCAGCAGCCGCGGUAAUACGUAGGGUGCAAGCGUUAAUCGGGAUUACUGGGCGUAAAGCGUGCGCAGGCGGUUUUGUAAGACAGAGGUGAAAUCCCCGGGCUCAACCUGGGAACUGCCUUUGUGACUGCAAGGCUUGAGUGCGGCAGAGGGGGAUGGAAUUCCGCGUGUAGCAGUGAAAUGCGUAGAUAUGCGGAGGAACACCGAUGGCGAAGGCAAUCCCCUGGGCCUGCACUGACGCUCAUGCACGAAAGCGUGGGGAGCAAACAGGAUUAGAUAGCUCUGGUAGUCCACGCCCUAAAACGAUGUCAACUGGUUGUUGGGAAGGUUCCUUCUCAGUAACGUAGCUAACGCGUGAAGUUGACCGCCUGGGGAGUACGGCCGCAAGGUU
rnacentral:rRNA from 1 species